rnacentral:rRNA from 1 species
UACGUAGGGUGCGAGCGUUAAUCGGAAUUACUGGGCGUAAAGCGUGCGCAGGCGGUUCGUUAAGUCAGCUGUGAAAGCCCCGGGCUUAACCUGGGAAUUGCGGUUGAAACUGGCGAACUAGAAUCUGGCAGAGGGGGGUGGAAUUCCACGUGUAGCAGUGAAAUGCGUAGAGAUGUGGAGGAAUACCGAUGGCGAAGGCAGCCUCCUGGGCCAACACUGACGCUCAUGCACGAAAGCGUGGGGAGCAAACAGG